AUAUUAUUGUAUACUAAAUGCAAUUUCAUCUCAAAUAAUAUUUUACUCAUUUUUUAUAGCUUCAGCCAGAUCUGAGGGAACUCCAUGACACUAUGUGCAGGCUUACUUUGGUACCUGCAGAUUUUGAGGGAAAACAGAAAUUACAUGAAUGGUUACAAACUAUGUCUGGAAUGGCUGCAUCUGAUGAAUUAACUGAAAGUCAAGUGCGACAGUUUAUAUUUGAUUUGGAAUCUGCAUAUAGUAGCUUUAAUCGAUUGUUGCACGAGUCUUGAAGCUGAUGGAAAACUUUCUUAUAUUUGCUCUGAUUUUCAAUAUUAUUUGUAUAUAUGCAUAUGUAUAUUAGAUACAGUUGACUGUGUGGCAAGAAGUUUGCUAUAACUAGAGCCUUUGUAAAAAAAAAAAAAAAAAAAAAAGUAAAAAUAAAAUUAAAAAUAAAAAAAAA